AAAGAUCUGAACAACCAUGGCCAUCCCUCUGAAAGACCAGUACCUGUUUCUGCAACAUUUGGAGAGAAAAGCAGAACAGAAUAAAAAUUUUCUGCAGGAAAUCAGAUCCUUAGGAGAAUGGGAGGGAAGCUAUCGGUGCUAAGGCAAAGAAUUUGUGUCCUGGAGACUAUAUAAUGAUUUACAAACUUUUGCCAAUGGAAGAAAAUAAUGAGGUUGCUUGGAGGUAGAGAAGAGGUGGGAUUUAUUUUUUAAAGUGGCUGCAAUUUGAAAGGUCACUUAAGAGGGCAGUAAGCAAUCCUCUUAGAAAGAGACUAUGUCUGUUUUUUCCCUGUUUGUUUGUUUGUUUGUUUAAUGCGAGGACAGUGCCCUUUGCGGAGAGCCAAGAGGAAAACAAAAUUUAACUAAGAGUAGUAAAAUUGUUCUGGAAAAUAAAGUAACUGAAAUUGUAAGCAGGUAGACUGAGACAAAGGAUUUGAUGAGAACUAGUAUAGUGAGAGGAGUUUUCUUGAAAAGAGAAUAUUCUGAAUAAGGAGUUGCAGAGACUACGAAUCCCCAGGGAAGGUAGGAGUGUCAUGGAGAUUAACGAGGUUACAGAUAAUAAAUUUCUUGUUUGAGGAAUGCCAAAAUGACUUUUAGGGAGUUGAGUCUUAGGUUUUUAAAGGGCUGGGCUUUUACCAGUAUCUCAUUACGCAAUGUAAAGGCUAAGAGUAUGCCUAGAGCAACCUACCAAAAAAUUGGACUCAAUUUAAUAUUUGCUAUUUUUCAAAAUCUUCAAGGAUAGAUCAUCUCUGGAAAAAAUAUUCAAUAAAAAGAUAAUGAGGUUUGCCUCUAGGAAACAAGAUUGUAGUUGUCUGGGAAAUGAAAUGGGAGGAGAAUUACUGUUCAAGUUAUAUCCCUGUGCUUAUAUUACCUACUCCAGAAUAAAAUAAUUUAAAAUGGAA
rnacentral:lncRNA from 1 species